GUGGGAGAGAUGGCUCAGAGGUUAAGAACACCGACUGCUCUUCUAGAGGUCCUGGGUUCAAUUCCCAGCAACCACA
rnacentral:tRNA from 1 species